GCUAAACGCGAAGAACCUUACCAAGGCUUGACAUACACGAGAACACUCUGGAAACAGGGGACUCUUUGGACACUCGUGAACAGGUGGUGCAUGGUUGUCGUCAGCUCGUGUCGCGAGAUGUUGGGUUAAGUCCAUCAACGAGCGCAACCCUUAUAGUUAGUUGAAUUUUUCUAGCUAGACUGCCCUGGCAACAGGGAGGAAGGAGGGGAUGAUGUCAGGUCAGUAUUACCCUUACGUCUGGGGCUACAAACACGCUACAAUGGCCGGUACAAAGGGCAGCCAACCCGCGAGGGGGAGCUAAUCCCAUCAAAGCCGGUCUCAGUUCGGAUUGCAGGCUGAAACUCGCCUGCAUGAAGCCGGAAUCGCUAGUAACGGUAAGUCAGCACAUUACCGUGAAUACGUUCCCGGGUCUUGUACACACCG
rnacentral:rRNA from 1 species